AGACACUUUGAUGAGCAAGACAAGAAUGACAUUGGCAUCAUUCGAAUUACUGUUCUGGCAGGUCUACCAGUUUAUCUGAAAGAAGACUCUGCAGAUGUUUUAAGACACACAAGUAAGUUAAGGACUAACGUUAUCUGACUGCCUGUUUGUCUGUGUUCAACCAAACGGUCAUUCAAGACCUUUUAAAGCACAAACGUAUCCUGCGCAAGUUUGAAUUUCUCUCAAAGGACUAACUGACUGGCUGUCUGUUCUCGACCAAGCGGUCAUUCCUACUCAUUAAACCUUUGCACAAACAUUUCCCGCGCAAGUUUGAAUCUCUCGCAGUGAGUACUGACUUACAGCCCUUCACUCAUAAAACCUUUUAAAGCACAAACGUUUCCUGCCCAAGUUUGAAUUUCUCUCAGUGAGUACUGACGGACAGCCCUUCACUCACAAAACCUUUUAACUCUUUUACCGCCAUUGACGAGAUAUCUCGUCAAUUAAGAUAAAACGCUUCCCCACCAAUGACAAGAUUUUCCGUCUUACCGCUAUUAUCCACCAGGUGGCAACUUUUUAAACCCGAAAGUAUUGCCCUAUGGCAAGCGGCUGCAUGUCCAUGUCUGUUUUAAAGAUCGCUCUGAAUGGGAUCUCUAUGAAAAGUCUGUCACAAAAAUGGAAUUAUCUCUGCUUUUUGCUCAAAAUGUGGUGUUUUUGCAGAAACCUACCCAUAUUCAAAAGCUGAUUACAAAAGAACCACUGAAGGUAGGAUGAAACAGGGUUUUUUUUGAAAGCAGAGGGUCUGUUCUUUCAUUUUGUAUAUUGUAUGUUUAUUAGGGAUGUCCCGAUCAGUUUUUUUUGCUCUCGAGUCAUUUGAUUUUGAGUAUCUGCCGAGGCCCGAUCCGAUACUUCUAUAAUACAUUAAAAAAAGAAUAAAGAAGAGCGAAGAAACAGAUCCAGGACGCUCCUUAUGUCAUGCCAUACACGUUGCUGUUUCUGUGUGGAGUCAAAAGGGUCUAACUCUGUGCCAACGCAUAACUAUAGAUGUGUUAAAAAAAAAGAGAAUAUAGUAUAUAUGUUCAGGGGUUAAAUUGGGGUUUGUUUUGUGGGGAUGCUCUGUUAGGAGGGAGGGUUCGAGGGGUAACAUGUUUUAUCCUGAUGACAGCAAAGCCACUGGUGUGUUUCAAAGACAUUUUGCACACUUUUGUUUUAUGUCUAAAACAAUGUUUGUCAAAUAAAUUAUUGUUUAAUAAACUGUAAUAAUUUUACCCUUUUCUGUCAUA